CAAUUUUUGACCAUCCUUUUCACUGGUUGCCUGGCAAACUUCCACUUCUGAGAUCAUUUUAAAGCAACCCUUGACCCUGCCAAGUUAAUUUCUUUCUACCCUUCCCUGAUUUCUCAUGGAUCAAGAUCUUUUUUCUGAUGUUAUUAAAACCAUAUUGUUUUCCUAUGAAACAAGCCGUUCUCUUAGACCUCUUUGUCUUUAAAAAUACCCUCCCCCAGGGGACCUUUUAAGCUAGUGGACUCCGGUGUUGAUUAUCAUUCCUUUUUCUCCUACUGGUUUCCUUCCUUCAGUCCUUCAGAAUCAUACAUUUACAAUGUAUAAAUAUACAGUCACUUUCAACCAGAUUGAUAAAUUUAAAUUUUCAAAUACUUAGUCCCUGUACAUAAGUAUCACAUCAAGAGUUGCAUUUUCAACCCAGUGAUUUGAUUUCUCCCUCACCUGCCAUAAAGGCCUAUUUGUCCUACAUACGCUUGAGAAUUCCCGUUAUGUCACCUUCAUGCUGUCUCCUUUCAAAGAAGGGCUACUCUUGCAUUGUGUAUCGUAAACUUUGGGGCUUGAGGAAACUUGGAAGACCCUCUGAAAAUGUUAACAUUCUACAUAAGUGAACGUAGAGAACAAGAAGAUGGUCCAGUUUUUACCCCAUCACAAGGCAGGAAUCCACACCCUACACCAGUGCAGGACCCCUUCUGAGGCCAAUCUGGAGGAGCCUCUGAAGGUAAGGAUUCCAG